GAAGGUAUAGCUCAGUGGUAGAGUAUGUGUUCAGCAUGCAUGAGGUCCUGGGUUCAAUCCCUAGUACUUCCA
rnacentral:tRNA from 1 species